UACGUAGGGGGCAAGCGUUGUCCGGAAUUAUUGGGCGUAAAGAGCUCGUAGGCGGUUUGUCGCGUCUGCUGUGAAAACUCGGGGCUUAACCCCGGGCCUGCAGUGGGUACGGGCAGACUAGAGUGCGGUAGGGGAGGACUGGAAUUCCUGGUGUAGCGGUGAAAUGCGCAGAUAUCAGGAGGAACACCGAUGGCGAAGGCAGCUCCGC
rnacentral:rRNA from 1 species